GGGAGGGGGAAAGAACUGAGCUCCAGCAAGCUGGGCUCCUGGGGAGGAGGAGAGGCUGGGGCCUUGGGGAAGAAGGGGGUCGGUCGGGGCAUGCCCCUAUAGGGGGCAGGGGUGCCCACCCACCAGUAAACUGUUUAUGGAGCCCGUGGGGGCCAAUCAGCUGUUAGGCGGGGGCAGUAGGGUAGCUAGCUAGGAGAGUGUGAGUGCUCGCUGUUUAGCUGGUUUUGGCCACCAGCCAAUCAGCGAGGGGAACUGCUCCUGGAGCAAGGGGCUGAGCAGCUGAGAGACCCCACCUCCUUCUCCUACCUGCUUCUUGUGGCACUGUGGCAGGUGUGCUUUCUCUGGCUCUGCAGCAGCAGCUCCUAACCUCUCACCCAACUAAAGGCAGCCAGUAGCAGCAGCUGUUUCAGACCAGACCAGAAGUGGACAUACAGAAAUGCCUGUAGAAAGGCUGUACUCCCAAGAUUCCUGCUUGGACCAGAAGCAAAGAAUAACCUAAAUCGCAAGAGAAUGCCUGUUCUUAUGAAAUCCACAGCCAGAUUUCUAGAUCAAAGAAGUUCAGAUGAGCAGCUAAACUUUUGGUUGCUUCUUCAAACUGAACCUUUGGAUCUUUGCCCAUCACUAGUCCUUGCUGGAUUCAAGGUCAAAUGAGAAGGAGAAUAGUGGUCUACUGCACUGGGAUGUUGGGUGCAGUCAGCAGUAAAUCCUAUACGCUAUUCAGGUUUAAUUAUUCAUAUUAAAACUCAACCAAUGGGAGCUUGUGAGACAAAGUCCGACCAUAGUUUAGCUCCUGUUUGAACACUGCAGGUUUCCAGGUUGGGACAGAGGUGCACAUCUUGGGGGGGCUGAACAUCCUUCAAAGCUGGCAGAGCAUCUACCCACAAUGGAACUGCUUUAACAGACGGCUCGAGCCCACGCUUCCGAGGUCAGAAUGGAGCCCUAACUCUCUACCCCGAAGUUCGAUGCUGAAGAAAGAUGGAGCCAUUCAGAGAAGUGUGUCACAAAGCUUGGUCGAGCAGAUCAAAAAUCUGUUUUAAAAUCCCCUGCUGUAAAUAAACAUGUUUUUGAACAGUAAAUAAAUAUGGAUUUUGUACCGUCA